GCCGAAGUGGUGGAAUUGGCAGACGCGCUGGAUUCAAAAUCCAGUGGCCUUACGGUCGUGCGGGUUCGACCCCCGCCUUCGGCACCA
rnacentral:tRNA from 1 species